GCGAGAAUGGCGGAACUGGUAGACGCGCCGGACUUAGGAUCCGGUGGGGUGACCCGUGGGGGUUCGAGUCCCCCUUCUCGCA
rnacentral:tRNA from 1 species